AAUGAACGCUGGCGGCAGGCCUAACACAUGCAAGUCGAACGAGGCAGCAAUGCCUAGUGGCGGACGGGUGAGUAACGCGUGGGAACGUGCCCCUUGGUACGGAAUAGCCCUGGGAAACUGGGAGUAAUACCGUAUGUGGUCGAGAGACGAAAGAAUUAUCGCCAAGGGAUCGGCCCGCGUUGGAUUAGGUAGUUGGUGGGGUAAUGGCCUACCAAGCCGACGAUCCAUAGCUGGUUUGAGAGGAUGAUCAGCCACACUGGGACUGAGAGACGGCCCAGACUCCUACGGGAGGCAGCAGUGUGGAAUCUUAGACAAUGGGGGAAACCCUGAUCUAGCCAUGCCGCGUGAUCGAUGAAGGCCUUAGGGUUGUAAAGAUCUUUCAGUGGGGAAGAUAAUGACGGUACCCACAGAAGAAGCCCCGGCUAACUCCGUGCCAGCAGCCGCGGUAA
rnacentral:rRNA from 1 species